GAUGAACGCUGGCGGCGUGCUUAACACAUGCAAGUCGAACGGAAAGGCUCCUGCCUGCAGGGGUACUCGAGUGGCGAACGGGUGAGUAACACGUGGGUGAUCUGCCCUGGACUUCGGGAUAAGCUUGGGAAACUGGGUCUAAUACCGGAUAUGACAAUCUCUUGGAUGGGGUUGUGGAAAGCUUUUGCGGUAUGGGAUGAGCUCGCGGCCUAUCAGCUUGUUGGUGGGGUAAUGGCCUACCAAGGCGUCGACGGGUAGCCGGCCUGAGAGGGUGUACGGCCACAUUGGGACUGAGAUACGGCCCAGACUCCUACGGGAGGCAGCAGUGGGGAAUAUUGCACAAUGGGCGCAAGCCUGAUGCAGCGACGCCGCGUGGGGGAUGACGGCCUUCGGGUUGUAAACUCCUUUCGCAACCGACGAAGCUUUUGUGACGGUAGGUUGAGAAGAAGCACCGGCUAACUACGUG
rnacentral:rRNA from 1 species